rnacentral:tRNA from 1 species
GCGCACGUCGCCAAGCGGCUAAGGCAAGAGGCUGCAACCCUCUCAUCGCAGGUUCGAGUCCUGCCGUGCGCU